GACGAACGCUGGCGGCGUGCCUAAUACAUGCAAGUAGAACGCUGAAGGAGGAGCUUGCUUCUCUGGAUGAGUUGCGAACGGGUGAGUAACGCGUAGGUAACCUGCCUGGUAGCGGGGGAUAACUAUUGGAAACGAUAGCUAAUACCGCAUAACAGUAGAUGUUGCAUGACAUUUGCUUAAAAGGUGCAAUUGCAUCACUACCAGAUGGACCUGCGUUGUAUUAGCUAGUUGGUGGGGUAACGGCUCACCAAGGCGACGAUACAUAGCCGACCUGAGAGGGUGAUCGGCCACACUGGGACUGAGACACGGCCCAGACUCCUACGGGAGGCAGCAGUAGGGAAUCUUCGGCAAUGGACGGAAGUCUGACCGAGCAACGCCGCGUGAGUGAAGAAGGUUUUCGGAUCGUAAAG
rnacentral:rRNA from 1 species